UACGUAGGGGGGCUAGCGUUGUCCGGAUUUAUUGGGCUAAAGAGCGUGUAGGCGGCCAAGUAGGUCCGGUGUGAAAAACUCGAGGCUUAACCUCGAGAUGUCAUCGGAAACCAUUUUGGCUAGAGUCCGGAAGAGGAAAGUGGAAUUCCUGGUGUAGCGGUGAAAAUGCGCAGAUAUCAGGGAAAGAAACACCCAAUGGCGAAAAGCAGCUUUUCUGGGGACGGUACUGACGCUGAGACGCGAAAAAGCUGGGGGGAGCGAAACAGGAUUAGAAAACCCCC
rnacentral:rRNA from 1 species